rnacentral:rRNA from 1 species
UACGUAGGUGGCAAGCGUUGUCCGGAUUUAUUGGGCGUAAAGGGCGCGUAGGCGGCACGGCAAGUCGGGAGUGAAAGCCCGGGGCUCAACCCCGGAGGGUCUCUCGAAACUGCCGAGCUAGAGUGCGGAAGAGGCAAUCGGAAUUCCCAGUGUAGCGGUGAAAUGCGUAGAGAUGUGGAGGAACACCAAUGGCGAAGGCAGCCUUCUGGGCCAACACUGACGCUCAUGCACGAAAGCGUGGGGAGCAAACAGG